rnacentral:rRNA from 1 species
AUUGAACGCUGGCGGCAGGCUUAACACAUGCAAGUCGAGCGAGCGGCGGACGGGUGAGUAAUGUCUGGGACACUGCCUGAUGGAGGGGGAUAACUACUGGAAACGGUAGCUAAUACCGCAUACCAUCAGAUGUGCCCAUAUGGGAUUAGCUAGUAGGUGGGGUAAUGUCUCACCUAGGCGACGAUCCCUAGCGGGUCUGAGAGGGUGACCAGCCACAUUGGAAGUGAGAGACGGGCCAGACUCCUACGGGAGGAAGCAGGGGUGAAGAUUGAACAACGGGCGCAAGCGUGAGGCAGCAAUGCCGCGUGUGUGAAGAAGGCCUUCGGGUUGUAAAGCACGUUCAGCGAGGAGGCGUUACUCGCAGAAGAAGCACCGGCUAACGACGUGCCAGCAGCCGCGGUAAUUC